rnacentral:lncRNA from 1 species
CAACUCUUAGGAAGGGAUCUUAGAAUCUUAUUUACGAGCUCAAAAUCCGAAAAACUUUUGCCGAGUCCUUUUAGACCAUUGACGACAUCCGUGAAACGGGUGUACAUGUCGCCAAUAGUCUCGCUCGGUUUCAUUCGAAAAAGUUUGAAAGAAUGUAUCAAAAGAUUGAUUUUUGACUCUUUCACUCUACUUGUGCCUUCGUGAGUCACUUCGAAUAUAUGCCAAAUAUCAAACGCGGUUUCACAAACCGAAACACGAUUGAACUCAUUUUUAUCAAGCGCACAAAAUAAGGCAUUCAUAGCCUUUGCAUUAAGAGCAAAAGUCUUCUUCUCCAAUUCAUUCCAAUCAAUCAUUGGAAGAAAAGACUUCGAAAAUCCAUUUUCGA